rnacentral:rRNA from 1 species
UGGGGAAUAUUGCACAAUGGGCGCAAGCCUGAUGCAGCCAUGCCGCGUGUGUGAAGAAGGCCUUCGGGUUGUAAAGCACUUUCAGCGAGGAGGAAGGUGGUGAGCUUAAUACGCUCAUCAAUUGACGUUACUCGCAGAAGAAGCACCGGCUAACUCCGUGCCAGCAGCCGCGGUAAUACGGAGGGUGCAAGCGUUAAUCGGAAUUACUGGGCGUAAAGCGCACGCAGGCGGUUUGUUAAGUCAGAUGUGAAAUCCCCGGGCUCAACCUGGGAACUGCAUUUGAAACUGGCAAGCUAGAGUCUCGUAGAGGGGGGUAGAAUUCCAGGUGUAGCGGUGAAAUGCGUAGAGAUCUGGAGGAAUACCGGUGGCGAAGGCGGCCCCCUGGACGAAGACUGACGCUCAGGUGCGAAAGCGUGGGGAGCAAACAGAUUAGAUACCCUGGUAGUCCACGCCGUAAACGAUGAGUACUAGGUGUAGGAGGUAUCGACCCCCUUCUGUGCC